UUAAAUAAGUAUGUAUUAUUUGAAUGUCUAUUAGGAAAAAAUAACAUAGCAACGUAUGACUCCACGUGUAUUACUUCUUAUGACAAGGCUAAGUUAAAAAAAAAAAAAAUUGGGAAAGGGG